GUCACGGGGGGAUUUGAAUCAAGCGUCACUAAAAAUGGCAUUAGAAAGCUCAGGUGGUGCUACGGCGAAAAAAAUAAAUAAAUAAAUAUAGCUGCAAAUAUAACAACAGAGGAAUUUAAUUUCUUAUCACGAAGCAGCAUCGACAAUUCCCACGAUUUUUUAUAAAGUAUGUCGCACUGAUUUCAGUAUCGGACACGGUGGGAAAAACAACGUAACGCAGCACAAUAAAUCCCAACGGCACAAUCGCGCUGUGGAGGCACAAAGGGGUACACCCGCGAUUUCAAACUCACUAAAGGACGGACGGAGGCAGAAACCGUAUUACAGAGUGAACGAAGAAUAUCAAUGUUGAUUGCAAAAAAAAAAAAAAAAACCUUCCAUUUUCUUUUUGCGAUCAAUUCAAUGCUAGUGUGGGAGGCAUGCUCCCGGAUUCUGUCAUAGCUAGAAAAUACUUCUCUGGAAAGACUAAAACAACUUAGCUUCUUAAAGGUAAGUUCAUUUGUCAGUGUUUCCUUUUAUGUAAUAUAAAAUUUGUUAUAAAAAAGAUAAAUAAAAAAGAAACAUGAAUAAGUCUCAUUAUUAUCACAAUAAUUAUUAUUAAUAAUUAUGUAUUAUGUAUUUACUUAUGUGUAUUUAACUUGCCUCUGACCCGCCCCAAACCCAACCCCCAUCUGUUGAGUCCUGCCCCCACAACCCCUCACACCCAACCGCCCCGCCACCCGGAGUCUCCUGGAUUUCGGUAUCCAAAUGUUGACAGAAUCCAGUGAUGUUACACAGACACCAGUAUUAUGGGUUUCACAGGGUGAAUCUGCACAAAUGAACUGCAGUCAUACUAUGGGUGUAGGCUAUAACUACAUGUAUUGGUUUCAACAACGAAAGGGAGAAACAAUGAGACUCAUUGCUUUCACAAUGCUAGGCAGCAAGCCAGACUUUGGUGAAUUUUCUGUUGAUAAAUACUCAGCUGAAAAGACUGUAGCUGAUAAAGGGUCUUUCACAGUGAAGAAGCUGCAGCCCGAUGACAGUGGUGUGUAUUUCUGUGCAGUGAGUAAACACAGUGACACAGACCUACUGUGCUGCUGUACAAAAACCUAAAAUGUUCAUGCUCCCUAAACACAGAACAGGUGCUAUGACAGAUGUUAACAAUGACAAUGAAAUUUUGCAGUUUGUUUGCAGCGCCGCCAUAUAAUGAUUGUGACCACCAGCUUCCAAAUUAUAUAAUAAAUAAAUAAAUAAAUACCCAAAUUAAAUAAAUAAAUAAUAUCAGUUCAUUAAUAUUAUGACAAAAUUACCUGGUUGUUACUCCUCCUGCAAGAGUUGAUGGAGGUUGCAUGAUGAAAACAGUUUUAAACAAAGCCAUAGCAAAAGCUGUUGCAACACUGAACAACACAAUGGUUGAGCCACAAUAGAACAUGAAUCCAGCAGAUGGUGCUAAAGGCUAACAUUUACAGUAUAUUACAGGAGAAGUAGCUCACAUUACUCGUUUUUUUGUGCCUCGUAAAUUCUCUUUCAGUACAAACAUUUUAUUUUAUUUUAUUUUAUUAACUUCUCUCCCUGUUU
ensembl:lncRNA